rnacentral:rRNA from 1 species
AUUAAAGUUGUUGCAGUUAAAAAGCUCGUAGUUGAACCUUGGGCCUGGCUGGCCGGUCCGCCUCACGGCGUGCACUGGUCCGGCUGGGCCUUUCCUCCUGGGGAACCCCAUGGCCUUCACUGGCCGUGGGCGGAACCAGGGCUUUUACUGUGAAAAAAUUAGAGUGUUCAAAGCAGGCCUUUGCUCGGAUACAUUAGCAUGGAAUAAUAGAAUAGGACGUGUGGUUCUAUUUUGUUGGUUUCUAGGACCGCCGUAAUGAUUAAUAGGGAUAGUCGGGGGCGUCAGUAUUCGGCUGUCAGAGGUGAAAUUCUUGGAUUUGCCGAAGACUAACUACUGCGAAAGCAUUCGCCAAGGAUGUUUUCAUUAAUCAGUGAACG